GACGAACCGAGCGAACGUUAUUCGGAAUCACUGGGCUUAAAGGGUGCGUAGGCGGGCUGUCAAGUCUGGGGUGAAAUCCGGCAGCUUAACUGUCGAACUGCCUUAGAUACUGAUGGCCUCGAGGAAGGUAGGGGCAUGCGGAACUGUAGGUGGAGCGGUGAAAUGCGUUGAUAUCUACAGGAACUCCGGUGGCGAAAGCGGCGUGCUGGACCUUUUCUGACGCUGAGGCACGAAAGCUAGGGGAGCAAACGGGAGUUAGA
rnacentral:rRNA from 1 species